rnacentral:rRNA from 1 species
CCUACGGGCGGCAGCAGUGGGGAAUAUUGCACAAUGGGGGAAACCCUGAUGCAGCGACGCCGCGUGAGGGAAGAAGGAAUUCGUUACGGAAAGCUCUAUCAGCAGGGAAGAAACACUGACCUUACGGUCAGCAGACGGUAUCUGAGUAAGAAGCGCCGGCUAACUACGGGCCAGCAGCCGCGGUAAAACGGAGGGGGCAAGCGUUAUCCGGAUUUAUUGGGUGUAAAGGGUGCGUAGGUGGUUUGACAAGUUGGUAGCGUAAAUCCGGGGCUCAACAUCGGAACUGCUACCCAAACUGUUGGACUCGAGUGCAGGAGGGGCAACUGGAAUGUCUAGUGUAGCGGUGGAAUGCUUAGAUAUUAGGAAGAACACCGGUGGCGAAGGCGGGUUGCUGGACUGUAACUGACACUGAGGCACGAAAGCGUGGGGAGCAAACAGGAUUAGAUACCCGUGUAGUC